GAUGAACGCUGGCGGCGUGCUUAAUACAUGCAAGUCGAGCGAACAGACCCGGCGCUUGUUCCUCUGACGUUAGCGGCGGACGGGUGUGUAACACGUGGAUAACCUACCUAUAAGACUGGGAUAACUUCGAGACACCGGAGCUAAUACCGGAUAAUAUAUUGAACCGCAUGGUUCAAUAGAGAAAUACGGUUUUGCUGUCUCUUCUAGAUGGAUCUGGGCGGCAUUAGCUGGUUGUUAGGGUCACGGCUUAUCGGGGCAACGAGGCGUAGCCGACCGGCGAGGGGGAUAGGCGACACUAGAACUGGGACGGGCUCCAUGCUCCUACGGGAGGCAGCAGAAGGGAAUCGUACGCAAUGGGCGGAAGCCUGACGGAGCAACGCCGCGUGAGUGAUGAAAGUCUUCGGAUCGUAAAACUCGGUUAUUAGUGAAGAACAGAUGUGGAAGUAACUAUGCACGUCGUGACGGUACCUGAUCAGAAAGCAACGGCUAACUACGUG
rnacentral:rRNA from 1 species